rnacentral:rRNA from 1 species
UACUUGGGAGGAUUGACAGAUUGAGAGCUCUUUCUUGAUUCGGUGGAUGGUGGUGCAUGGCCGUUCUUAGUUGGUGGAGCGAUUUGUCUGGUUAAUUCCGAUAACGAACGAGACUCUAGCCUAUUAAAUAGGCGCGGGGUUCCCAGCACCUUACAACCUUCUUAGAGGGACAAGCGGCUCCUAGCCGCACGAAACAGAGCAAUAACAGGUCUGUGAUGCCCUUAG